AUGUGUGGCGGUAUACCGGGAAACAUACAGGGAAGACGCCAGUAUGUCCUCACCCGGUUUUACUGACGUCUUCCAUUGUGAAGACACUCAGCAAUCGAAGGAGCCGUUCUCAUACACUGAUGAUGGGCUAAAUGAUAGUUUGGACGGGAGUUCAACUGAGUUGACCGAUGUUUUUGAGGAGGAAUUCUGUGAUGGUGAACUCUGGAUU